rfam:Sorghum bicolor cultivar BTx623 chromosome 2, whole genome shotgun sequence.
GUUAUUGUAUUCACCUCAAUCCACAUAUGUUGGGGUGGGUUGGAGUAUAAUUUGAACUAAAUUUCACCCCAAUCCACCUCAACACAUGUGGAUUGAGAUGAAUACGAUA